GAACGCGUUCGGGUAUUCGGAGCGUAAAAGUCCGGCUCGAGCGUCUAGUAGUCGCGUUCGUCAGGCGCAUUUCUCGAGGGUAAGCGUCGCGACCGAUGCGAAAGGCCGACGAGACCGUCAGGUUGAGGUCGAAAACCCCUCGCGGGGUAUUCGUUACCAACCAGUCGGUAAUAAUCGUGGGACCGUAGUAGGCAUCGAGCGUCUUCGGAAAGUAAAAGUCGGCGUAAAAUGCUCGUCAGAACGGCGGAGAGUCAGCCGAUUAAUCGACGUCUGCUCGCAGGCGUUCGGUUAACGCGAGGUUGUCUACGAAGUCGUCGGCGAAGUACCGACUUUAAGGCGUCCGCGACGUCCGAGUCGGUCACCCGUCCGACCCGUCUUGAAACACGGACCAAGGAGUCUAACGUACGCGCGAGCUAAUGGGUGGAAAACCCAUAAGCGCAAUAAAAGUAAAAACCGUCUCUAGACGGUCGAGGUACGAUCCCGUCGUCAACGCACGAUCGGGCGCAGUACCGUCCCGUCCCGACCGCUCGUCGGUAGGGCGGAGACAGAGUGCAUACGUUGGGACCCGAAAGAUGGUGAACUAUGCCCGAG
rnacentral:rRNA from 1 species